GAUCGCGGCGACGUGGGCGGUUCGCCUCCGAUGACGUCGCGAGAAGUCCACUGAACCUUAUCAUUUAGAGGAAGGAGAAGUCGUAACAAGGUUUCCGUAGGUGAACCUGCGGAAGGAUCAUUG
rnacentral:rRNA from 1 species